rnacentral:rRNA from 1 species
UACGUAGGGGGCAAGCGUUGUCCGGAAUUAUUGGGCGUAAAGGGCGCGUAGGCGGCCAGCGCAAGUCAGUUGUGAAAUCUCCGGGCUUAACUCGGAACGGUCAACUGAUACUGCGCGGCUAGAGUGCAGAAGGGGCAACUGGAAUUCUCGGUGUAGCGGUGAAAUGCGUAGAUAUCGAGAGGAACACCUGCGGCGAAGGCGGGUUGCUGGGCUGACACUGACGCUGAUGCGCGAAAGCCAGGGGAGCGAACGGG